CGGGGGUCUUCUGCAGCAGCCUCUGCUAGAAGGUGCCUGCUGCUCCGAACGGUCUGGGCUUACACUCAGGACAUUCUUGUAAAGCAGAAGGACAGGGAAAACCACUAAUAGCCUAACAGCAAAGCAGCCUUGAAGAGAACAAUGCACCUAUUUAUUGAGGGCAAGCAGCAAUUGAGGCUGGGUGAAUUAAAAACUUCAGAAGUGGCCUGAGACCCAACCCUGCCAGUGUGGCAUGAAGGGAAAUUUUCUCAUUGAUUCAGAAAGACAGAGAGGCAUACCAGCACAAAAGCACUAUGAUCUCUCGUUGAAUGGGAAACAUCCAUGUCUAUAUGUGAAGUCUGGAACUGUGGCAGCCAUCUGGGGACCAUGAGGACAGCUAAUUGAUGACAAGAGCAACAUGCUGAGGGUGGGCAAAGAGAAAAGGUGGGAAAAACUGAGGUCCUGGGGGAAGCAGUUGAACCAACUUCAGUGCCACCUUAAUUUGGGGCUUCCUGUAUGUGAGA
rnacentral:lncRNA from 1 species